rnacentral:rRNA from 1 species
GAUGAACGCUGGCGGCGUGCCUAAUACAUGCAAGUCGAACGCUUCACUUCGGUGAAGAGUGGCGAACGGGUGAGUAAUACAUAAGUAACCUGGCAUCUACAGGGGGAUAACUGAUGGAAACGUCAGCUAAGGCCGCAUAGGUGUAGAGAUCGCAUGAACUCUAUAUGAAAAGUGCUACGGGACUGGUAGAUGAUGGACUUAUGGCGCAUUAGCUUGUUGGUAGGGUAACGGCCUACCAAGGCGACGAUGCGUAGCCGACCUGAGAGGGUGACCGGCCACACUGGGACUGAGACACGGCCCAGACUCCUACGGGAGGCAGCAGUAGGGAAUUUUCGGCAAUGGGGGAAACCCUGACCGAGCAACGCCGCGUGAAGGAAGAAGUAAUUCGUUAUGUAAACUUCUGUCAUAGAGGAAGAACGGUGGAUAUAGGGAAUGAUAUCCAAGUGACGGUACUCUAUAAGAAAGCCACGGCUAACUACGUG